rnacentral:rRNA from 1 species
GACGAACGCUGGCGGCGUGCUUAACACAUGCAAGUCGAACGGAAAGGCCCUGCUUGCAGGGUACUCGAGUGGCGAACGGGUGAGUAACACGUGGGUGAUCUGCCCUGCACUUCGGGAUAAGCCUGGGAAACUGGGUCGAAUACCGGAGAGGAGCCAUCUUUAGGGUGGUGGUUGGAAAGUUUUUUCGGUGUGGGAUGGGCUUGCGGCCUAUCAGCUUGUUGGUGGGGUAAUGGCCUACCAAGGCGGCGACGGGUAGCCGGCCUGGGGGGGUGGACGGCCACAUUGGGGCUGAGAUACGGCCCAGGCUCCCACGGGAGGCAGCAGGGGGGGAUAUUGCACAAUGGGCGCAAGCCUGAUGCAGCGACGCCGCGUGGGGGAUGACGGCCUUCGGGUUGUAAACUCCUUUCGCUAGGGACGAAGCUUUUUGUGACGGUACCUAGUAAAGAAGCACCGGCUAACUACGUG